rnacentral:misc_RNA from 1 species
UUUGAACGCAAGUUGCGCCCGAGGCCACUCGGCCGAGGGCACGCCUGCCUGGGCGUCACGCCAAAACACGCUCCCAACCACUCUCAACGGGAAUCGGGAUGCGGCAUCUGGUCCCUCGUCUCUCAAGGGACGGUGGACCGAAGAUUGGGCUGCCGGCGUACCGCGCCGGACACAGCGCAUGGUGGGCGUCCUCGCUUUAUCAAUGCAGUGCAUCCGGCGCGCAGCUGGCAUUAUGGCCUUUGAACGACCCAACAAACGAAGCGCACGUCGCUUCGACCGCGACCCCAGGUCAGGCGGGACUACCCGCUGAGUUUAAGCAUAUAAAUAAGCGGAGGAGAAGAAACUUACAAGGAUUCCCCUAGUAACGGCGAGCGAACCGGGAGCAGCCCAGCUUGAGAAUCGGGCGGCUGUGCCGUCCGAAUUGUAGUCUAGAGAGGCGUCCUCAGCGACGGACCAGGCCCAAGUCCCCUGGAAAUGGGCGCCUGGGAGGGUGAGAGCCCCGUCCGGCCCGGACCCUGUCGCCCCACGAGGCGCCGUCAACGAGUCGGGUUGUUUGGGAAUGCAGCCCAAAUCGGGCGGUAAACUCCGUCCAAGGCUAAAUACAGGCGAGAGACCGAUAGAGAACAAGUACCGCGAGGGAAAGAUGAAAAGGACUUUGAAAAGAGAGUCAAAGAGUGCUUGAAAUUGCCGGGAGGGAAGCGGAUGGGGGCCGGCGAUGCGCCCCGGCCGUAUGCGGAACGGCUCUUGCUGGUCCGCCGCUCGGCUCGGGGUGUGGACUGUUGUCGGCCGCGCCGGCGGCCAAAGCCCGGGGGCCCUAGGUGCCCCCGGUGGCCGUCGUCGGCACGGCCGGUACCCGCGCGCCGAAAGGCGUGUCCCUCGGGGCACUGCGCUGCAACGGCCUGCGGGCUCCCCAUCCGACCCGUCUUGAAACACGGACCAAGGAGUCUGACAUGCGUGCGAGUCGACGGGUUCUGAAACCUGGGAUGCGCAAGGAAGCUGACGAGCGGGAGGCCCUCACGGGCCGCACCGCUGGCCGACCCUG